rnacentral:rRNA from 1 species
GUGGGGAAUAUUGGACAAUGGGGGAAACCCUGAUCCAGCGACGCCGCGUGGGUGAAGAAGGCCUGCGGGUUGUAAAGCCCUUUCGGUAGGGACGAAAGCUCUUGCUCCAACAAAGCAGGAGGUUGACUUAACCUACAUAAGAAGCACCGGCUAACUCUGUGCCAGCAGCCGCGGUAAUACAGAGGGUGCGAGCGUUAAUCGGAAUUACUGGGCGUAAAGCGCACGUAGUCGGCUUGUCAAGUCGGGUGUGAAAUCCCCGGGCUCAACCUGGGAACUGCAUCCGAAACUGACUUGCUAGAGUAUGGGAGAGGGAGGCGGAAUUUCUGGUGUAGCAGUGAAAUGCGUAGAUAUCAGAAGGAACAUCAGUGGCGAAGGCGGCCUCCUGGACCAAUACUGACGAUCAGGUGCGAAAGCGUGGGGAGCAAACAGGAUUAGAAACCCUUGUAGUCC